UGAUGUAAAUAUAAUACAGUGAAAUAUAUUUAAUACCUGAGGGUUUAAAUAUAAGAAUACAAUGCACAGUAUAUGUUAUGACACGAUUUCACAGAAAUGUGGGGGCUUUUCUGUAAAUUGGUCAUUGACCCUUCAUUGCCGGCCGAAUGGGCCAAACAAACAUGGGCUGAGGCCCAUAUGGCCUUUGGGCCCAUUCGGCCCAGGGGAACUGCCCCCAUAUAAAAGAGAGGGGAGCUGGGCAGUUAGGGCUGCCACCCUAUGUCAGCGCCCUAUGCCGCCGCCGCCGCCUGUGGGAGAUCGGGUCGCCGGAGAGGAGGCUGAAGCCGAGCCGACUGCGCGACGGAGGAGGCAUGGCCGGACGCCGCCGUGCCUUGCUUUGCCGAUGCCGCCUGAGGGAGGCACGGCCGGACGCCGCCGUGGGCGUCGCCGUCGCCGAUGGGGAGCCACCGGUCGCCUAUGGCCGGCUCGGGCGAGGGCAUGCCGCCGCUAGGGCGGUCCGCGCCGCCGCCGUCGAUGGAUCUCUCUGGAGCGCGGUGUCAGAACCGCGCGAACGGCAGCAAGAGACAGCCGCCACGGGCUUCUUUGCGACGUCAUCGAGCCUCGGGCGCCGCUGGUGAGACGCCGAAUAGGGCUGGUGCAGCCGAGCAAUGCCGGCUUGAUCUACGACAUGGCCGGCCACCGCCUUGAGGGCGGGCGCCGCCGCCGGCCUAUAGCCGUGAGGCCGGCUCGGGGAGCCAUUGUGGUGGGCCGCCGUCGCCUGAGGGACGGCGGCUGGCUCGGGUGGCCGGCUUGAUGCGCCGUGGUGGGCCACCGCCGCUGCCUAAGGGCAGGGAGGUCGGCUGGCUCGGGGUGGCCGGCUUGAUGCGCCGUGGUGGGCGCGUCGGCCGAGAGCCGACGGUGCGCUGCGCCAUCGGCGAAGGGCGGUUGCAACGCUGCCGGUUGCCGUUGAGGGCAGAUCUCCGCCGGAGAGUGGAGGUGGAGGACGACGGUUACAGAACCAUCGUUGUGCCGAUUAACCAAGCAUAGUUUCUCGGUGGCCCGACUCAAGAGGAACUCGCCGCUGGAGGGCGAAGGGUGGAGCGCCGGAAGAUGAUGGCGAAACGGCGCCGAGUGCUGUUGAUUGCCGCUCGCCACCGCUUGCAUCGCGUACCCGGCGCCGCAAUCAGAGGUAGAAUCUACGUGCUCUGGGCGGCGCCUUCGUGUGAUUGCCGAUCUGUCGUCGGCCGCCGUGUGCAGAUUCUGUGAGGGCCACUGGAGAUGUACGGUGAUGAUGGAGUCGAUGUUCUGUUGAGGCUCGACUUCUUCUCUUGUUCUCAGUGAUGAAGGCCUUCGUGCCUCUUGUGCCGCUCAGGGUAGAACUAGCGUGGCUGAUAACGUGUUGAGAAUUGAAAGUACAGAAUGUAAAGUAGACAAAGAACAAUAGAUUCAACUCUUGUUUUCUCA